UUUCUUGCUCUGGAGAUCCAAGAGGGUCAAGUGGUGCUCAAAUAUUCCACCGGUGAAUCAUCCACCCUGGUGAGUCCUUUCCUGCCUGGAGGUGUGAGUGAUGGGGAAUGGCACACAGUUCACAUCCACUAUUACAACAAGCCAGCUAUACGCUAUGUGAG